AGCGGAGCUGGUGGAGGUGGCGCUGGGCGUGCUGGCUGAGGUGAGCCCGCGGCUUCCCUUCACCCCGAGUUCAUCCCGAGCACAGCGGCCUGGCCGCGGCUGAGGCCCGCGGCUGAUGGUCCUUGUGUCAGAGCUUGCAGCGCGAGGGAGCUGAGGAGAAGGCCUGCAGCGGGAGCCAAGAGGAACAGGACGUUCAGCAAGUGGAAGAGGAGCUGCAGGCAGAACCGAGCCAGGCUCCCGGAGGCACAGCCAGCGCGGAGGAAGGCAGCGACGGCAGCCUGGGCCCUCCAUCUCCUCCUGGUGCUGGUGCAGAGGCAGAGAGGACUGGCCUUGAUGACUCUGAGGAUGAUGCUCUGAAAUACGUCAGGGAGAUCUUCUUCACUUAGCAUUGCCCCUACCACAGCUGUGCACACAAGGAUGGGGUUGGGAGGGCAUAGCCCAUCAAGAAGGAGGGUUGGGUACCCUCAGAGAGGGCAUUCCUGGGUCACGUGUCAGGCACUGUCCUGCUGGUCUCCCUUUCUCCCUUACCACACAUCUUGUCACUGUGACGCUACAAAUCCUCACAGCAAUAAAGGGAGUGAAGGAAUGCAGUUAUUGUGCAAACUCGAGGAUGGCGAUGUGUGUGGGACACUAACAGGAGCCUGAGCUGAGUCUGAACUCAUCGUGAGCUCCAAGCUUAUGUUGGAUAGGGCCGAACACAGGGCAGUAAAGAAGGAGCUGCAUACUUGCUAUGGGCAUGAACUGCCUGUCAGCGAAGCUGGGGACCAGCAGCCCACCCGUAAGUGGGAUGCCUCUGAUGCCAGCUGCUGGAAAAGUCAAGGUUCAGCUUGCAGUGAGAACAUUCUAAGGAAGAUCGAUACCAGCAGGGUGGUUCACAGGAUGUGGGUAAGGAGCGAUGACUCAUGCACCCAUGCUACUCGGAAUAAAACCUUG
rnacentral:lncRNA from 7 species